CUGAUACUGGACGGUAGCCGGUGGCGAGAGAAAUGGUCAGAGGUCCGACGAGACAGACAGUGAGAGAAAGCAAAGGCAUUACUAUUCUACGAUGGUACGGUUCUUCAGUGUGGGGUCCGUCGUGGUGCUGGCGGUUCUAGCCGCGUCGCUGGUGGUCCUGCCGUUGAUGCUGCCGCCGCUGCCUCCCCCGCCGCUGAUGCUUCUCUUCUUCCCCGUGGGCAUUAUGGCCGCCCUCAUGUUGUUGGCAUUCUCGCCGACGGACGCCGCCGGACACGUGGCAGUUUGGGCGGUGUAGGUGGAGGAAGCUGGUUGGGUGGCUCCGAUUGUGGUUACAAUACUUUGCCUUGUUUUUUUUAACAAAGUUCAGAAUCAGUGGAUAAUGAUUUUGUCUCAGUGCUGACGUCAUUAUUGUUGUUCAUCUUUUGAAAAUAUAUUAGCUGAAAGCAGAUUCAGAUUCAGAGUGUUUUGUUUUUGUUUUUGUGUUUUCAAAAUUAGAAAGUGAUUUAGAAAAACAAAGCUUAAAACAGCUGUGUAUGAUGAUCCAUGAAUGAAUGAAAGAAAGAAAGUAAGAAAGGAUGAUUCAGAAUUUAAAUGGAAUGUGAUUUGUGAAAGGAUGGAAGUUUGGUUGCUGUUUUGAAAACAAAAAACAUUAAAAACAUGUUUGAGAAAUGGGAUGUAUUUUUAUUUUUUUGUAUUUCUUGUGUUCUUAAAAACCAUUUGAGAAAUAUUUUCAUUAUUUUUUUAUUGUUCACGAAACUGUAGGUGAUUUUUUACUAUUUAAGUAACUCUUUUUUUAAAUAAAAAAUUAUAAUUAAUUUAAAAUUUUUAAAAGAAAUCAUUUUAUUGAUUUAAAUGAAUUAUACAUAUAAAAAUUAUUUAUAUAUUUAUAAUAUCAAAUUAACUAAAAAAAAUAUUUCAUUAAUUAAAAAAACAGCUUUUAAGUAUAUUUUUUAUUUUAUUUAUUUAAAAAAAAUUAUUAAUUCUAUCAAAUGCAUUUUUUUUUUGUUUUUGAGAACAAAAGUUGUUUUCUGGAAUUUAGGUUUUAAACAUAAUUUAAAAAAAAAAUCAAAAACUAUCCUUAAAAAAUGUUAUCAAAAACUGUUUUUUAAAGAAUAGCUUUUAAAAACAGUAAACAAAUAGGCCUAUUUAUGAUUUUGAGAUGAUUUGAAAACAUACUAUUUUCUCGUGCAUCAGCUUAGGAAGCAGUGCAGAGAGGCAGUGAAAUAGGAUUUUUGAAGUUAAAAAAUUGGGCGGUGAGAACUUGAGAGCAACAAUAAAGUAGGAAAUAGAAUGGAUUUCUCGUUUGUUCCAAAGAUCCAAACAGAUCUUUAAAGGUUGAUACUCUGCUUCACAUUUAAAAAUGGUCUUUUCUUCUUAAAAACAGAUCUUCUAUUUUUAUGACUCAUUGUAAAAAGGGGAAUCUCUAAUAAAAAUUCGUUCAACUUUCUUUUUACAUUCUAUUUUCUUUUCCUUCUUCUUCUUCUUCUUCUUCUUUUACUUUAUUAUUUUACAACAUUAUUAUUUUACAACAAACAAUAUGUUCUCUUUCUUAUUUAUUUUGAAUUAAUUGGUUAAAAGAUAUUAAAUAAUCCCCUAUUUAUGAAUUUAAUAUUUUUCAUGUUUUUUUCUUAAAGAAUAAUCUAUUUUUGAUAUAAAUGUCCUUAAUUAUUUUAAAUAUUUAUACAUAAGUUUUAAAAGAAAUGGUUAUUUUUAUAAGAAAAAAAUAAGAGCAUUUUUGUCAAAAUGUGGUAAAAAAAUGAUGAAUGAUUAAAUUUUCAAAAUGGAGUUUUCAAUAACUCUUCUAAUCAAAUAAUCUAUUUAUUUUUCCAUUGCUUAGAACUAAAAUCUUGAAAUAUGAUUUUCUUUGAGAAAAAUUUAAGGAAAACAAAUAAAGAGAAAAAAAUAAAUUAGAAGCUCCUCAUUUUUUUUCUAGAAUCAUUUGUUUUUCAUUUAAAAUCUUUAGAACUUAAACAUUGAUUGAAUUAAUACUAGAAAAUCAUAAAACUAAAAAUCAAUCUAAUAAGAGUACAAUUAAAUGUGAUUAUUGGAAAUGUUUUUAGUCUAAACAAUGUUUUUUUUAAAAAAAAAAAAAACUAGUGUUUGGUAAAAUUUAGGAAACACUUAUGAGUUUGAUAGUGAUUUUAGGAAGUAUUUUUAGAUUUUCUAAAACUUGAAAAUUUUUAUCUUGCAAGUAUAAAAAAAGUUAAGAAAUACUUCCUAGAAUCACUACCAAACACACGAACAUGUUUGGUAGUAAUUUAAGAAAAUGUUUUUAACAUUUCUAACACUUGAAUAAUACAAAUUUUAAAGUGUUAAAAAGUUUGGAAACACUUCUUAAAAUCAUUACCAAACUGGUUAUAAAUAGUGUUGAAAAAUCAUUUGUAAUAUUUUAUAGAGAAACAUAAUAUGUGAUUCUUCCAAAAAUACUUUAAAAAAAACAUUUUCAUUAAAAACUCUUCAAAAGAAAAACGCUAUUAAACACACUCUAAAUACCAUAAAGUCGUACUAUAAAAGCGAUUUUGAAUGAUUUUAUUAGCUUCUCUUUACAAUGUAAUUAAAACAAAAAAGUAACUUUACUAUAAAAAUUUAUGAGUUAAAUCUCAUCUAAAAUGACUUCAUUGUUUUUACUUUGUAUAUAAUUGCAUUUUUAUGAUUUUUUUUUCAUUCGAUAAAUGAAUUUCAAAUUAAAGGAAAUUUAAUAUAUUGUUAAUGAGUUUAGUAAUUUUUAAAAAUAUCUUAAAAUAAAAUAAAAAAAAACCAAAUCAAUGUAACAAAAUAAUAUAAGAAAAAACCUGGUAUAAAACAAAUUAUCUUUACUAUUUUUCCUUUGCAUAUAAACAAAUAAAUUCUAAAUCAAAAGAGACCAAUAAAUCAAGGAAGACAUAAAGGUUGUUUGGUAAAAUCUAAUAUUUAUUAUUUAAUUACUUAAUUUUACCUUAAUUUAAAUUAUUAUUAAGUUAUUUACUUAAAACCUAUUAUUUGGUUUUUACUUUAAAUAUUAAAGGUCUUUAUUAACUUAAAAUUUAUUAUAAAUCAUCGAAUUGACAUAAUCACUCUUAUGAAUCUUAACUAUUAUUUACACUGAUUAAUUUUAACUAAUAUCUCAUGCUAUUAAUUUUAAACAAUGAAUUAGUUUGUUAAAUAUUUAUAUUUAAAAUAUUACAAAUACAUAAAAUAAUCAAAAGAUAUUUACUAUAAAAUUCAAUCAUGGAUGUAGAGUUAUACUCAUAAAAUAGACACUCACUACAUAUGGGUAAAUGAGAUAAAAUAAAUUUGACAUUAAAAAUAAGUUAAUUAUUUUGACUUAAUAUUUAAAAGUUAUUAUUAACAAUAUUAAGUUAUUUUACUAGAUAUGUUUAAUCUACUUAAUGAUUUAAAUUAAAUUAUUAAAUCAAUAAAUUAACUUAGCAAACAACCUAUUAGAGUCCAUUUGAGAGUACUUUAAAAAAAAAUGCUUAUAGUUUAAAAAGAACUUUUGAAGAAAAAUUAGGUGUUUUGACAAAAUUUGGAAAACUCUUUUUAAAAAAUUGAAAGAAUCACUUAUAGUUUUUCAUAGAUAAACAUUUGAUAAAUGAUUAUUUUAAAAAUAAUUUUAGAGAAAAUAAUUCAACUAAAAGAACUUCAAAUAUAAAUACUCCUAAAUAUGCUCUUAAUGUUUUGUUUUUAUUUUUAUUUUUAAUUUUUUUUAUUUCUAACGAAUCUAUUAAUUUUUAAUAGUAAUUUGAAAUUUAAGUUACUGAUUC
rnacentral:lncRNA from 1 species